rnacentral:rRNA from 1 species
CGCGGUGAAUACGUUCCCGGACCUUGUACACACCGCCCGUCAAGCCAUGGAAGCUGGGUGUACCUAAAGUCGGUAACCGCAAGGAGCCGCCUAGGGUAAAACUAGUAACUGGGGCU